GCACCAAACACAGGAUUUGAUCCGUAACCAUAUCAGAUCAAGCUAUAUGCUGUUAUAUUAUUUUUUUUCUAUUAAAGGUAAAAAUAAAGCUGCUGUGCCACAGAGUUUUCUCUGGAAUACCAAUGAGGAAAAAGUGAAACAACAUCAACAAAGAGUCUGCAUCUAAUUACAUGUCAAACUGGUGACUUAAGUUUUUGUUUUGGCAGAUUUUCCCAGUUCAGCUCCUGCCCAGGACCGUCUGAGAGUUCAGACUAAUCAAAGGCACUUGUAUGGAGCUGUGUUGGACUCUGAAGGGACUGAGCCAGUUCAGGCCAGCCUGCUGCUCCUUCUCUCCUCUUUUUUCCCUCUCCCUCUCACUCUCCCUUCCUGUCCUGACUGUUUAAGGAGAGAAAGAUUUAGAAAUUCCUUCAAGCUACUUUACUUCAGGUUUCUGUGGGAUUUAAACAUGCACACUACGGUUUUAGUGCAGUCUGUUUUAGUGCCGUUGCUUCUGAUCCUGCUCUCUACCAUCGAGGACACUUUGUUACAGUCAGUAAGCCAGGUGGGUCUUGUGUGCAAGCUGUCCUCGGAGUCUUCGCUACGCCGCUGCCGUACACCCGAUGGUAAAAUAUGCAGUGGAAGGGGUAAAUGUGACUGUGGCAUCUGCGUCUGUGAAGCCAAAGAGCCAGGGAAGUUCUAUGGUCCACGCUGCGAGUGCCACGACUGGGUGUGUCCCACACACAAUGGACAAAUUUGCAACGAUCGUGGUUACUGUGACUGUGGGACAUGUGAAUGUGACGAGGGCUGGUUUGGAGGGACGUGCCAGUUUCAGGAGGAGUGCAGAGUGUCGGGAAAGAAGAGCAGGGAGCUCUGCAAAAACCAGCAAGGGGUGGUUUGCUCCAACAGAGGAACCUGCAACUGUGGAAGCUGCAUGUGUGACAACGAUGACGGCAAGAGUUUGGUGACGGGGCGCUUCUGUGAGUGUGAUGACAGUGAGUGUCUGGACGAGGACAUAGGAGAGGUUUGUGGAGGCCAUGGCCAGUGUUACUGUGGAAACUGUUACUGUGCUGCUGGUUGGCAUGGAGACAAAUGUGAGUUCCAAUGUGACAUCAGCCCAUGGGAAAGCAAGCGAAGAUGCACAUCCCCAGAUGGCAAAAUCUGCAGCAACAGAGGGACCUGCGUUUGUGGGGAGUGCACCUGCUAUGAUGUAGACCCUUCUGGGGACUGGGGGGACAUCCAUGGAGACACGUGUGAGUGCGAUGAGAGGAACUGCCAUGCAACGUACGACCGAUACACAGAUGACUUCUGCUCAGGUCAUGGGCAGUGUAAUUGUGGAAGGUGUGACUGCCAGGAAGGCUGGACAGGGAAGAAGUGUGAUCAUCCUAUGAGUUGUUUGCAAUCAUUGGAGAGCAGUCUGAAGAAAUGCAGAGGAGCGUCUAAUUUGCCCUGCUAUGGACGAGAUAAACGGCUUCUGGGAUUUGAGGGGCGACUCGACCUGCUUGAGGUUCUACAUCAGGAGUUCCAGAACCUCCGAACAUCUCUGGACUUCAGCCAGGAGCAGGUUGAGCGGCUCGCUGCUGAGAACACAUCUCUGCGGGAGUGCGUUUCUUCCCUGGAAGAGGGAGUGAAGCGGAUCACCCAGGACAACAAGAUUCUCAAAGAGACGGUUUUGGACCUUCAGGCCCGUAGCAUGAGGGAUAAUUGGGUGUUCACAGGCCUGCCGGAGCAGACGGGAAGGGCAGAGAACUGCGAGCAAACAAUCAAGAACUUUCUCCAGACCGAAAUGAAGAUACCUGAAGAAACUGUACAAAAGAUCACCUUUCACCGGGUGCAUUGUCUUGGAGCUAGAAGAGUGGACAGCAGAAGAUCUCAUCCCAUUGUGGCUAAAUUUGAACAUUUUAAACAGAAGGAUCUUGCUAAAAGCCACGGAAGAGAGCUCAAAGGAAAAUACUACAGCGUAAAUGACCAGUUUCCUAAGGAAAUCCUGGAUCGGCGCUGAGUCCUCUUACCGCUGCGCAAAAAGUUUAUCCAGGAUGGGAAGAGGGCUGUCAUCUCAGUGGAUAAGCUUUAUGUGGACAGCAAACUUUAUAAGGAGCGAGGAGUGACAGACUGGUUGUAUUUGCCCAACAUCAGGUCAAUGCUUGUGUGGACAUUGUAGUUGCCACCCACCAGACAGUCGAGUUUAUGGGAAAAACUGUGAGUGUGAUGAUCGUCAGUGUGAGGAUAUAACUGGAGAUGUCUGUGGAG